GACGAACGCUGGCGGCGUGCCUAAUACAUGCAAGUCGAGCGAAUCAAUAGGAGCUUGCUCCUGUUGGUUAGCGGCGGACGGGUGAGUAACACGUGGGCAACCUGCCUGUAAGACUGGGAUAACUUCGGGAAACCGGAGCUAAUACCGGAUAAUCCUUUUCCACUCAUGUGGGAAAGCUGAAAGUCGGUUUCGGCUGACACUUACAGAUGGGCCCGCGGCGCAUUAGCUAGUUGGUGAGGUAACGGCUCACCAAGGCGACGAUGCGUAGCCGACCUGAGAGGGUGAUCGGCGACACUGGGACUGAGACACGGCCCAGACUCCUACGGGAGGCAGCAGUAGGGAAUCUUCCGCAAUGGACGAAAGUCUGACGGAGCAACGCCGCGUGAGCGAUGAAGGCCUUCGGGUCGUAAAGCUCUGUUGUUAGGGAAGAAUAAGUAUCGGAGUAACUGCCGGUACCUCGACGGUACCUAACCAGAAAGCCACGGCUAACUACGUGCCAGCAGCCGCGGUAA
rnacentral:rRNA from 1 species